rnacentral:rRNA from 1 species
CUAGUGGCGGACGGGUGAGUAACGCGUGGGUAACCUGCCUUAUACAGGGGGAUAACAGUCAGAAAUGACUGCUAAUACCGCAUAAGACCACAGCACCGCAUGGUGCAGGGGUAAAAACUCCGGUGGUACAGGAUGGACCCGCGUCUGAUUAGCUGGUUGGUGAGGUAACGGCUCACCAAGGCGACGAUCAGUAGCCGGCUUGAGAGAGUGAACGGCCACAUUGGGACUGAGACACGGCCCAGACUCC